rnacentral:lncRNA from 10 species
AAAGGUCAGGCCGAGGCCGGCGCGGAGAAUCUGCUGUCGCCUGCAGCUGCUCGCCUGUCUCCGUCGGAAGGGAGCCCAAGCUUUGCAGAGAGAGAGCGUUUCACCGUGUUAGCCAGGAUGGUCUCGAUCUCCUGAUCUCAUGAUCCGCCCGCCUCGGCCUCCCAAAGUGCUGGGAUUACAGGCGUGAGCCACCGCGUCUGGCCUCAGCCAAGGUUUUUAAGUAACAUAUUUCAGCAUUGGCUCUACAGCGUUGCAGGUUGGUCACAUAAGCAUUAGCUGGGUCUGAAAUAUUAGUAAGCAUUUUAUUAUUCCAGCAAAGAUUCACAUGAAUUAACUAUGUAUCAGAAGGCAUGACAACUGCAGUGUGCUUGCUGGACAAAAAAUUACCAUUGCAGUAAAUUCUCAUGCUCCCAGUCUAAACGGAUUAUCAGCUAGGGAUCUGAGAAGAAAUCCCAUGUUCCUUUUGAGACAAAUAACCCGCUCCCGCUGCUGGGUCACUGUAGCCUUAGCUUUGUUGUCUGUUUACUACAGAAUGGUGCAUCCAAAUCCCUGUUUUCUCUU